GAAAGGUCUCCGCAAGGGGGCCGAGUAGAGUGGCGGACGGGUGAGUAACACGUGGGUGACCCGCCUUCUAGAGGGGGAUAACUCCGGGAAACUGGAGCUAAUACCGCAUGAGCUCUUGGUAGCGAUAUUGAGAGGAAAGCCGAAAGGCGCUGGAAGAGGGGCCCGCGCUCGAUUAGCUAGUUGGUGAGGUAAGAGCUCACCAAGGCGAGGAUCGAUAGCCGGUCUGAGAGGACGGACGGCCACACUGGAACUGAGAUACGGUCCAGACGAAUACGGGAGGCAGCAGUGCGAUCUUGCUGGAAACUCGAGCC
rnacentral:sRNA from 1 species